UGACAGACUCUUCAGUCUUUAAUAAUGUGAGAAUAAACAGAGUCAAUUAAAAGCAUACCAUAUUCUUCUCAGCUUCCUCAUGGGAUUUGUCCGAACAGCUUGAACAACUGCAAAAUAAUAUUCAGGAACCAUGAUAGUGUUUGGUACACAGAGGACACUGGAAAUAGUUUUCAUAACUGAACAAGUGACUAGAAUAAAGGAAUUAAUGAAUGACAUCAGAGCUGAAAUCCCAAACCAUAAAUCAUAAAAGAAUCAGACACCAGAGCUGCGUUUUUAAGAUUAAAUUUGCACGCUUAAUAAUGGCUUGACCCUGACUGUUGCCCGGGAUACAGCCUGCAGGUGGGCGAUUAAAAGCAAAUCAAUCAGAGCAUUACCAUGAACUAACGGUCCAGGAAGUUGAGAAUGAGAACGAAGAUGACUGAUGAAUAAAGGAGCUUGACGUUGACUCAAAGCAGAAG